rnacentral:rRNA from 1 species
AGCGAACGUUAGCGGCGCGCUUAACACAUGCAAGUCGCACGAGAAAGGGCCUCGGCCCCGGUACAGUGGCGCACGGGUGAGUAACACGUGGAUGAUGUGCCGUUCUAUGGGGAAUAACCUUCCGAAAGGAGGGCUAAUUCCGCAUCCGACCGUAUCGUGGGAACGAUACGGUGAAAGCAGGCCUCUGUAAUACACGCUUGCGUAGAACGAACAGUCCGCGUCCCAUCAGCUAGUUGGUGAGGUAAUGGCUCACCAAGGCUAAGACGGGUAGCUGGUCUGAGAGGAUGGCCAGCCACACUGGAACUGAGACACGGUCCAGACGUCCUACGGGAGGCAGCAGUGGGAAUCUUGCGCAAUGGGGGAAACCCUGACGCAGCGACGCCGCGUGGACGACGAAGGCCUUCGGGUUGUAAAGUCCUGUGGGUGAGACGAAAGACAGUGGUUCGAAGUAGGCCGAUUGGUUGACGGUA